AGGGGUUGGGCCCCAAUCUCUCCUUCAAGGGCCUACCCCUAUUAACCUAACUUCCUUUCACUAGGCCCACCUGCCAAUAGCAUCACAAGCUGGGGACCAAGCCUUCAACAAGUGGGCAACACCAUAGUAAUAUUGUGUGAGAAGAGUGAUCUUGGGAAACUGCUGAAGCUUCCUAAUAGUUUUUGUCUCUCUUCUCUGAACCCAUCAAUCAGCACAUAAGCAUGGCUUCACCAUCCACAUAGUUAGCCUGGUCUCCCUUUGAAUAGUGGUUAAGAUCAUGUCUGCCAGGACUAACUGCCUUUAUGGCUGCCUCAUCAAUCUCCCUGAAGAGGGAGAAAAGGAGAACUCAACUUCAAGAUGUUGAAGGAAGGCCCUCUUAGCCAACUCUUAUUUGUUUUGGAAAAGCCCAGAAACAAGAAGUUUGCAUUCGCGCCAACUCUAAUUAAUUCCUGCAGUCAAGCCCAAACCACAUGUUAGGUGUCUCGUCUCCGGUCUUCAUGCUUCAUGCAUCACUUGCUUCGCUUCAGCUGUUUACCUGAGAGGUGCAAGCCAAUCAUGUCUCCACAGAGCAGACGGAGCCCUUCAGUUCUGUGAUCCACAACUACUUGGUUCUCUGCGUGAAUCACACAUCCAGAGGUGAUGAAGUGACCAUCCUCAGGAAUGUUCUGCUAAUUCUUCAAUCAAGGGGAGGAGAUUUACAAGUAUCAUUCUACUAUUGGACUUGGUUGCUACCUCCAUCUGACUUGUUGGAGUCUGGAGAGCAGUCUUAGACAUGGACCACCCCUCUCAUAGUAGGCACUUCUAUGCGGGCGCUUGCACAAAGGCACUGGCUUCAGGUCUAUGGAUGUUAGUGUGGGACAGAGGUGUUGGGAUGGAAUGCCAAUGGGGUAGAGGGAGAGAGGAGAGGUGUGUUGGUGACCCCUGUGUACCAGGUGUCCUGUUGCUAUGCACUGUACAGAGCUCACCACUUCCCUCUAAAACAUGCCAUUACCUAGACUCCUCCCACAUACUGGCCAACUCCCACUGGUCCCUGGUCUCCCUAGCCUGGGGCAAGGCCACCCAUUCCAGUAUUUGUCACUUACACAGCUUGCAAGCUGCCUGAGUGGUGACUAGCUCUUCCACCGAACUUGAAGAGACCCACAGGUAUUUACCUCCCUCUCUUCAUCCUGACCCUUUGCCUCCCAGAGAGGAUGCACUCAAAUUCUUGCUGAAUGAGUAUUGUUGAGGUAUUGUUGAUGACAUUGUUGAGGCCUCUUAGACUUAGAACUCUUAAAUGGCAUCCGUUUGACCACAGGUAGCAAGAGAAGGAUGGCAAGGGGGACCCUUACUCCUGACCUAAACCCUGGGCCCCUGGCCUGCACAGCCUUCUGUCAUCUCUGUAGGCUCAGGUUCCUCCAGUGCCCACCCAAGUUGCUCCCAUGAAAUCAAAUCACCUGCAAGCUGAAAUGAGGGGGAUAUUGAAGGCUUGGGGUGGGGACAGACAUGUGAUGGAAACUCCAAGAGGGCAAAGUUGUCCAUCCUUACAGUGGCCCGCUCUGACCUGUGCUAGAAUCCUAACAAGACUGGGCACAGGCCCAAGUCCACCAUUUAUUGGGGCAACACACAUGAAUAGCUUUCACUCACAAGAAAGGCAAAAGGAAAUGUAAAUUUUUACAUCCUGUAGAUUCCAGUGUUCACAUUUUCCUGGGGUUUGUGGCUAUAAAAGCAUUUAUGUAUAAUAUAAUAUUAAAUGGGAGAAGUAGAGAAAUUACCCAAUACUUUGUAUAGUAACUGCUCAGGUUUACUUUCUCCUUACAAAUCAUAUGAUUGUUCCUGUUAUCAGUGAGCAAAUGAAGUUUUAUUGAUAAAAGAUGAGGAAAAGUGACUUAAAAGUUUGUGAAGCAGUGAAGAUUUGAUUUUCAGCUGAAGCACUGAUGCUAGAAUCAGUUAAUGAUCACUAUAUCAACAGUCUAUAAUAACAUUGUAUUUGAAAUAAAGUAAUUAUUACUUUUCA